GGUAACCUGCCCUUAAGUGGGGGAUAACAUUUGGAAACAGAUGCUUAUACCGCAUAGANCCAAGAACCGCAUGGUUCUUGGCUGAAAGAUGGCGUAAGCUAUGCCUUUUGGAUGGACCCGCGGCGUAUUAGCUAGUUGGUGAGGUAAUGGCUCACCAAGGCGAUGAUACGUAGCCGAACUGAGAGGUUGAUCGGCCACAUUGGGACUGAGACACGGCCCAAACUCCUACGGGAGGCAGCAGUAGGGAAUCUUNCACAAUGGACGCAAGUCUGAUGGAGCAACGCCGCGUGAGUGAAGAAGGCUUUCGGGUCGUAAAACUCUGUUGUUGGAGAAGAAUGGUCGGCAGAGUAACUGUUGUCGGCGUGACGGUAUCCAACCAGAAAGCCACGGCUAACUACGUGCCAGCAGCCGCGGUAAUNCGUAGGUGGCAAGCGUUAUCGGGAUUUAUUGGGCGUAAAGCGAGCGCAGGCGGUUUUUUAAGUCUGAUGUGAAAGCCCUCGGCCUNACCGAGGAAGCGCAUCGGAAACUGGGAAACUUG
rnacentral:rRNA from 2 species